AGGAAUUAUAACUGCCAUGGCCUCUAUGGCACCUUUGUCACAGGAGCAUGCUGACAUGGACAUAUUCACUGGAGAGGCCAUCGAUGUUGUCAUCGGAUCCUCAAGAGAUGACGGAAAGGU
rnacentral:lncRNA from 1 species